UUGGCCAAUAUCCAGAAAUCCCAUAUCGAACAGUUACCCUUGUUAGGCUUAACGUAGUAAACCACUUUCAGAACACAAAACAAUCAAUAAAUCGUAUUUGUAACGCGAUAUAUAUUUUUAUUUAAAUUACAUAUACCGGAAAAUAUAGAACGGUACACGAAAUGAUGCGUGUUGGUUGCCUAUAUAUCUACGUGUGUAAAUAUUUGAAUGCAAACACGUAGUCGCUCGCAUAAAAGGACAUUAAUAUAACGU